AACGAACGCUGGCGGCAUGCCUAACACAUGCAAGUCGAACGAGACCUUCGGGCCUAGUGGCGCACGUGUGCGUAACGCGUGGGAACCUGCCCUUAGGUUCGGAAUCACUCCCCGAAAGGGGAGCUAAUACCGGUUAAUCUCUUCGGAGCAAAGAUCUCUCGCCUUUGGAUGGGCCCGCGUUGGAUUAGCUAGUUGGUAGGGUAAAAGCCUACCAAGGCGACGAUCCAUAGCUGGUCUGAGAGGAUGAUCAGCCACACUGGGACUGAGACACGGCCCAGACUCCUGCGGGAGGCAGCAGUGGGGGAUAUUGGACAAUGGGCGAAAGCCUGAUCCAGCAAUGCCGCGUGAGUGAUGAAGGCCUUAGGGUUGUAAAGCUCUUUUAACCGGGAUGAUAAUGACAGUACCGGGAGAAUAAGCUCCGGCUAGCUCCGUG
rnacentral:rRNA from 1 species